UACGUAGGGUGCGAGCGUUGUCCGGAAUUAUUGGGCGUAAAGAGCUCGUAGGCGGCUUGUCGCGUCGGAUGUGAAAGCCCGGGGCUUAACUCCGGGUCUGCAUUCGAUACGGGCAGGCUAGAGUUCGGUAGGGGAGAUCGGAAUUCCUGGUGUAGCGGUGAAAUGCGCAGAUAUCAGGAGGAACACCGGUGGCGAAGGCGGAUCUCUGGGCCGAUACUGACGCUGAGGAGCGAAAGCGUGGGGGAGCGAACAGG
rnacentral:rRNA from 1 species